ensembl:lncRNA
CUCGUCAUUACAGUCGCAAUGCAUUUCUGGUACGAUCUGCCUACUCUGACGAGAAAAACGCUAUGGUAAUUGGCUCAUGACGCGAUGCGUAGGUGAUUGGUUAGAGAUGGUUAUAUACUUCGAUAUUAGUUAAGAGAUGGCUAAAGUAUUAUUUCUUUAUUCAAACAAGGACAUAUACUCACAUGCACUAGCUACUAGCAUGUGCUCCUUUAACUUCCGGGAACUGCUACCGUUUGUAAACAACGCAGCCAGGGCCAUGCUUUGGGGGAGUUCGGCAAAGAGGGUCGAGAGCGAGAGGCCCGUCCGUAGGGCUUGUACAUCGUGACAUCAAAAACAUUCCUGAUGUAUUGAAUGGGAUUAAUCCAUUGACUUUAUUUGAAAUACAUCAUUGAAAAAACAUCUGUGGACUUUGCAUAUUUUACAUAUUUAUAUUGCUUUGUUACAGAAGCAUAUUGAACAUAUUUUAAUGAUUUAGCUUGAAGGAAGCUGAUGCAUUAGAAGUGAUGCAUUAGCCUACUUUUUUCAUCCAAAAAACAAUGCCCAAUAAAGUAUAUCUAUGAAGCACUCUUGUAACAGUGCUUUAUUAUACGAAUAUAAUCAUUAAAAAGAUAGCCUACCCUUUGAUCCAAUUCAAAUAUAUUAACCCACUAUUCCCUUCAUGAACACAUGACGCCAUUGUUUCACACAAGAUAAUAUUCCUGAUUGAGAAAUGAAAUAAAAAAUGGCUUUACUAGCACUGGCAGCACAUAGAUGAACAAUGUCCAUCACUACCACUUAAAAUAAUUUUUCUUGGAAGCUCCUUUAUCUACCUUACCAGUGUGGUCAUCACCAUCCGUCCCACUGUUUCUACUAUCACGUGUUCUGGCAUUACCAACAUUACCUGCUUGUUUGCAUUGAAAAUCAGAAGCGUGUGUGUCAUUAUCACCCCUCAACCUGCUGUGACUUGAAGCGACAUAAUCACCCAUACUUUUUGGGUGGCCUUGAAAAGCGUGUGUGUCAUCAUGAUGAGCUAUGCCACGGCUUCCAAUGGGACGUGCAUCCACACAAGGACGCCUACCACUCCAGUGGUCAUGACUACUUGUACUGCUAGUCCUUUGGGAGAUGACAUUACUACUAGUACCAGUGUUGCAUUCAUGAGCAAGCAAAGCCAUAUUGUCAUUUCCUGAUUGAACCAACGAUUCGGAAGCACUGCUAUUAUGACAGCAGGGGUCCGACAUUGCAAUGUCGCUAUCGUCGACACAUUCACAGAUGCUUUUUUCACAGUGUUUCAUUAAUGUGGUGUGCAUUUCAUCGAGCGCCUGGUUGUUCAUGACGCAGGGCACCAAUCCAUGCACGGUUUCUUGGUAGAAAACGUUGACAACCAACGCAAUGUUCCAUUUCUUGAGGACUGACCCUGGCUUCUGGAUGACUACUUCGUUGGGAUUGUAUCUGUGAUGCAUCAUCACCAAAAUAACAGCAGGCUCACAUGUGCCUGCAAAAAUGAUUGGACCUUUCCUACUUGGGACGUCAAGUCCUUCAUGAUCUGCAGGUAGCCACUCAAGACCCCAUUCUCUGUCAGGGCAGCUAUAGACAGAGAAAUGCUCAGUAGCAACAAUAGGAAUAACAGUGGACAUUACAAAGAACAUGAACACCCAAUGGACAUAUUUUAGGGGAUAAUACACACCUUCCAUAGAUUCUGCAGGGAUAAAAGCUUUU